GAUGAACGCUGGCGGCGUGCUUAACACAUGCAAGUCGAACGAAGCACUUACCAAGGAUUCCUCCGGGAUGACUAGUAAGUGACUGAGUGGCGGACGGGUGAGUAACGCGUGGGUAACCUACCUCAUACAGGGGGAUAACAGUUAGAAAUGACUGCUAAUACCGCAUAAGCGCACAGUACUGCAUGGUACAGUGUGAAAAACUCCGGUGGUAUGAGAUGGACCCGCGUCUGAUUAGCUAGUUGGUAAGGUAACGGCUUACCAAGGCGACGAUCAGUAGCCGGCCUGAGAGGGUGAACGGCCACAUUGGAACUGAGACACGGUCCAAACUCCUACGGGAGGCAGCAGUGGGGAAUAUUGGGCAAUGGGGGAAACCCUGACCCAGCAACGCCGCGUGAAGGAAGAAGGCCUUCGGGUUGUAAACUUCUUUUAGCAGGGACGAAGGACGUGACGGUACCUGCAGAAAAAGCAACGGCUAACUACGUG
rnacentral:rRNA from 1 species